GGGAAAGAUUUAUUGCCGAAGGAACGGCCCGCGUCCGAUUAGCUUGUUGGUGAGGUAAUGGCUCACCAAGGCGACGAUCGGUAGCUGGUCUGAGAGGAUGACCAGCCUCACUGGGACUGAGACACGGCCCAGACUCCUACGGGAGGCAGCAGUGGGGAAUAUUGGACAAUGGGCGCAAGCCUGAUCCAGCCAUGCCGCGUGGGUGAUGAAGGCCCUAGGGUUGUAAAGCCCUUUCGGCGGGGAAGAUAAUGACGGUACCCGCAGAAGAAGCCCCGGCUAACUUCGUGCCAGCAGCCGCGGUAAUACGAAGGGGGCUAGCGUUGCUCGGAAUUACUGGGCGUAAAGCGCACUAGGCGGCUUUCUAAGUCGGGGGUGAAAUCCUGGAGCUCAACUCCAGA
rnacentral:rRNA from 1 species